ensembl:snRNA U5 U5 spliceosomal RNA
CGACUCUGGUUUCUCUUCAUUACACACAAGCCUUUUGCCUUUUACUAAAGACUUCCGUGGAGAGAAACACUUAUGAGUUCAAUGUAUUUUUGAAGGGGCUUUGCUUCUGGCAGAGCC